AUUGAACGCUGGCGGUAUGCUUAACACAUGCAAGUCGAACGGUAACAGCAGAGCUUGCUCUGGCUGACGAGUGGCGGACGGGUUAGUAACGCGUGGGAAUCUGCCUUGUAGUGGGGGACAACCUGGGGAAACUCAGGCUAAUACCGCAUAAUCUCUACGGAGCAAAGUGGGGGAUCUUCGGACCUCACGCUAUAAGAUGAGCCCGCGUUAGAUUAGCUUGUUGGUAGGGUAAUGGCCUACCAAGGCUACGAUCUAUAGCUGGUCUGAGAGGACGAUCAGCAACACUGGGACUGAGACACGGCCCAGACUCCUACGGGAGGCAGCAGUGGGGAAUAUUGGACAAUGGGCGAAAGCCUGAUCCAGCAAUACCGCGUGUGUGAAGAAGGCCUGCGGGUUGUAAAGCACUUUCAAUUGUGAAGAAAAGCUUAAGGUUAAUAACCUUGGGUCUUGACGUUAACUUUAGAAGAAGCACCGGCUAACUCCG
rnacentral:rRNA from 1 species